rnacentral:rRNA from 1 species
UUAAAAAGCUCGUAGUUGAAUUUCUGGGUGGGCCGGCGGUCCGCUGUAUUUAUUGCAGUGUGUACUUGCGUGUGUCCGUUCAUAUUUGUGGAGUGCGUUGCGGCGGGCAUUAGUUUGUUUGCUGUGCGUGUUAAUCUCUGCAUCGAUUACUGUGAACAAAUUAGAGUGUUCAAAGCAGGCUUAUUAGCUUGAAUACAUUAGCAUGGAAUAAUGAUAUAGGACUUUGGUGCUAUUUCGUUGGUUGUGUACUGAGGUAAUGAUUAAUAGGGAUAGUUGGGGGUAUUCAUAUUUGAUUGUCAGAGGUGAAAUUCUUGGAUUUUUCAAAGAUGAACAAGUGCGAAAGCAUAUACCAAGGAUGUUUUCAUUAAUCAAGAACGAAAGUCAGGGGAUCUAAUAGGAUUAGAUACCCUCGUAGUCUUGACCAUAAACUAUGCCGACUCAGGAUUGGC